rnacentral:misc_RNA from 1 species
CCGAGAGUUGUAGGCUUCUGUCUACCAUCUCUUACCCAUGUCUUUUGCGUACUUAACGUUUCCUCGGCAGGUCCGCCUGCCGUAGGACAAUUAUAAACCAUUUGCAGUUGCAGUCAGCGUCUGAAAAACAUAAUAAUUA